UACGUAGGCAGCAAACGUUGUUCGGAAUUACUGGGCGUAAAGAGUGUGUAGGCGGUUUUGUAAGUUUGGUGUGAAAUCUCCCGGCUUAACUGGGAGGGUGCGCCGAAAACUGCAAGGCUUGAGUGCUGGAGAGGAGAGCGGAAUUCCUGGUGUAGCGGUGAAAUGCGUAGAUAUCAGGAGGAACACCGGCGGUGUAGACGGCUCUCUGGACAGUAACUGACGCUGAGACACGAAAGCGUGGGGAGCAAACAGG
rnacentral:rRNA from 2 species